GAUGAAGAACGCAGCGAAAUGCGAUACGUAACGUGAAUUGCAGAAUUCAGUGAAUCAUCGAAUCUUUGAACGCACAUUGCACUCCUUGGUAUUCCGAGGAGUAUGCCUGUUUCAGUAUCAUGAGCACUCUCACAUCUAACCUUUGGGUUAAAAUGUGGAAUUGGGAUGCGCCGGUUAUUAUAACGGCCCUCCUAAAAUUCAGUUCUUGGCUGCUUCCUACUACAGCAGUUUGGCCUAAUAGUUUUGAGUCUUCGAUUCAAAUCUUUGGCUAACAUUUGCUUCAGGAUGUCAGUCUUGAUAUACAGAAAUCUCAUUCAAACUUUGAUCUGAAAUCAGGUAGGGCUACCCGCUGAACUUAAGCAUAUCAAUAAGCGGAGGA
rnacentral:misc_RNA from 1 species